AGCAGCCGCGGUAAUUCCAGCUCCAAUAGCGUAUAUUAAAGUUGUUGCAGUUAAAAAGCUCGUAGUUGAACUUCGGGGUUUACCCAUUGGUCAGGCUUAAUUGUCUGUACUGGUGAGAUAAAUCUCUACCUUCUGAGGAACUUUCAUGUCAUUAAUUUGGUGUGAUUGGAAAUCAGGACUGUUACUUUGAAAAAUUAGAGUGUUUAAAGCAGGCUAACGUCUGAAUACAUUAGCAUGGAAUAAUGAAAUAGGACGGACUGAUUCUAUUUCGUUGGUUUCUAGGAUCACCGUAAUGAUUAAUAGGGAUAGUUGGGGGCAUUAGUAUUCAAUUGUCAGAGGUGAAAUUCUUGGAUUUAUUGAAGACUAACUACUGCGAAAGCAUUUGCCAAGGAUGUUUUCAUUAAUCAAGAACGAAAGUUAGGGGAUCGAAGACGAUCAGAUACCGUCGUAGUCUUAACCAUAAACUAUGCCGACUAGGGAUCGGACGAAGUUAAUUUUAUAAUGACGCGUUCGGCACCUU
rnacentral:rRNA from 1 species